rnacentral:rRNA from 1 species
GACAGAGGGUGCAAACGUUGCUCGGAAUCACUGGGCGUAAAGGGCGCGUAGGUGGCCUGAUAAGUAGGAGGUGAAAUCCUGGGGCUUAACCUCAGGGCUGCCUUCUAGACUGUCCGGCUCGAGCACAGUAGAGGCAGGUGGAAUUCCCGGUGUAGCGGUGGAAUGCGUAGAGAUCGGGAAGAACAUCGGUGGCGACGGCGGCCUGCUGGGCUGUUGCUGACACUGAGGCGCGACAGCGUGGGGAGCAAACAGG